AAGUACAAUAAAAAAACUAAUGCUGAUAAAAUAUUAAAAUAAGAUUUAAACCGUGUUAUUACUUUUAGUUGAUGAUAUUAUAAAUAUGUAUUAAUAUCGAUCCAAACCCGUCCCACCAUAUAACUUUCAUGAAAUAUUACU
rnacentral:sRNA from 1 species